rnacentral:rRNA from 1 species
UACGUAGGUGGCGAGCGUUGUCCGGAAUUACUGGGUGUAAAGCGCGCGUAGGCGGGAGGCCAAGUCCACUGUGAAAUCGCCCGGCUCAACUGGGCGCGGUCGGUGGAAACUGGUCACCUGGAGGACGGUAGAGGCGAGUGGAAUUCCCGGUGUAGUGGUGAAAUGCAUUGAGAUCGGAAAGAACACCAACGGCGAAAGCACUCUGCUGGGCCGACACUGACACUGAGAGACGAAGGCUAGGGGAGCAAAUGGG